UACGUAGGGUGCAAGCGUUAAUCGGAAUUACUGGGCGUAAAGCGUGCGCAGGCGGUUGUACAAGACAGAUGUGAAAUCCCCGGGCUCAACCUGGGAAUUGCAUUUGUGACUGCACGGCUAGAGUGUGUCAGAGGGGGGUAGAAUUCCACGUGUAGCAGUGAAAUGCGUAGAGAUGUGGAGGAAUACCGAUGGCGAAGGCAGCCCCCUGGGAUAACACUGACGCUCAUGCACGAAAGCGUGGGGAGCAAACAGG
rnacentral:rRNA from 1 species